rnacentral:lncRNA from 1 species
GCAGCUGGUAUCCAGUGUGCCCCUAGAGGCACAUUCCAUUUCUUCAAUACAUGAUACAAUGUGGCCGAUGCUGGUUUGUUUCUCUUCCUGGUGACUUCUUUUUAUUUAUUUAUUACAAGUCGUGAUCCUGGAUGACUUCCUUCAUUAUACUAAUCUGAAAGCCAAGUUUGAUUUAGUUGAGUUCUUGCACGCAACUCCUCAUGCAAUGAAUGAGUAAGGCAAUUUUAAAAGUGAAGGAUCAUCAAUAUAGUUUUUUUGCUGCUUUUGUCACAUGCUUAUCUUUGACGACAAGCUCUUUAUUAUGCAUUGUAGUCCGGCGGAUGUCUCUUACAUUGGUAUUUAACUUUAUAUAUUUGAGCUAUGUCUCUAUUUUUUUUUGCAACAACAAAUGAAGACUGACAUUGAUUCGAGGCUGCUUCUGCUUUUCAGACAUAGUGGGGACAUUUAAGAUUUAUAGCAAAUAUAUGAGAGUCAAGAAAUGCACAUAACCUCAAGUUAUAUUUUCUAUUGUAACUAGACAUAUAAAAUAAAAUGUUUCUUCAUUUUUCACUCAUCAAGGUUACCAAGUGCCAAAAACAGUAGAUAUACAAAGUAACUAUGGAAACCUAGAUAGAAAUAUUAUAUUUCUUUGAUGGGCCCCAGUUUCAUAUGAGGAAAACAAAUCAGGUGUGUUCCUUCUAUGUCUAAUUUGUAUAAGUGCAGAUUUUCAUGAAAGUUUUUUUAUUAGGCGGAAAUGGUUGACUUAUUCAACCAACUAUCAUGCACCCAUCAUUCAGAUAUGUUCAUAUGCAUUUCUUUCUUUUUUAGGCUUGGAGCGUUAUACUUGGAAAUUGAUGUUGGCCAAAGUUACUUCAAUGGAAUGGUGCCAGUAUGUGAUUUAAAUAUACUUGAAGAACAUUUACCUUAUUUUUCAGGUUUUAGUAACCAUUUUUUGUUGGUUGUCAAUAUUGCUACAUGGGUACUUGGGUUGCUGUACUGGGCACAUCUUAGUUCAAUCACUAUCUAUAGUUUCAGCUCAUUAGCUCAUGAAUUACCUUUGAAAGUAUGGUACCAUGUCAUAUAAUGAAUAUAAUCCUAGUUGUUUUUUGUUGUCAUUUUCUUACAAUGGCAGUAAGUACUAUUAUAUACGGCAAUAUGAGACAUGCUUGUGAAGUGGCAUUUCUAUUUAGUGAUUUACUGCGAGGUAUUAUCGAUCUCCUAUGUUGAGUGUCGACAGAUGGGAAAUUUAAAUUCUGUCGCUUGGGCAAUAUGAGUACUUGGGUUGCUAUACUGGGCACAUCUUAUUUCAAUCACUAUCUAUAGUUUCAGCUCAUUAUAUUAGCUAAUGAAUUACCUUGGAAAGUAUGGUACCAUGUCAUAUAAUGAAUAUAAUCCUGGUUUUUUGUUGUUCUCAUUUUCUUACACCGACAGUAAGUACUAUUAUACACUGCAAUAUGAGAUAUGCUUGUGAAGUGGCAUUUCUCUUUAGUGAUUUACUGCAAGGUAUUAUCGAUCUCCUAUGUUGAGUGUCGACAAAUGGGACAUUUAAAUUCAGUAUGAAUCUGGAUGAAGAGGAGGCAGAUAACAUAAUCUUGGUGAAGAUAUUUCAAUGGAGACAACAUAGUGUUGCAUUUUUAGUAGACCAAUAGAAAAUUGUAUUGCUUGGUUGUUACAUCCCCUUUUCAAUGUAUUUUUUUUACCCAUUAUUGCCAUGGAAUAGAUGAUAUCUAACAAUCAAGUUCGAAGUUACUAUAAAAAUAUCAUAAAAUGGUCGGGCAUUGUUGUCCACUACAUUAUGUUCCAUUUUCUCCAUAUGUAUGCUCCCUUUAUUUGUGGUUGUAAAUCAUUUACCAAUUUUUUAUCCAUUCAUAUUACAUUUAUUUUCUGCUUGUAGUUUGUUUUGCAAGCAAUAUUGACCAUAUGCCUCCAUGGAUCUAAUCCUCUGGGCACUACUUCUUAUUGUAAAUCAACUGACAUGAUCAUAGCGAUUCGUAUAUAGUGGCUAUUAUUUUGAAGUUUCAUGAGUGUUUUGCUUGAUCAUUGAAAAGAGUAUUGAUCGAGACGUGCCUUGCAUGUGUAAGCUUACUAGUUACUACAGAUUGUUCUGUUUUUGACAGAUUCUGUUUUUGUUGUGUUAUGUGCUUGUUUUAAUGAUUACAUGGUUUCCUUCGAAGAGUUUUUGCCAUGGAAGAGUUAAAAUAAAGUAGAUGUAAUACAAUAAAAAAAUAUGAAUGGGUUUGCAACAAUACUUAAAUUAGUGAUUUGCUUUCUUAUACUAACGGAUCUCACGAAGGUUUUGUUGAGUUUUGUGUGAUUGAAGUUUUCAAGUUUUGGGUGAGAUCGCGAUGGAUGAAUGAAUAAGGAUUAGCAAAAGGGUAAGAUUGAGGAUGCCCGAGGCACCCCAAGAUAAUAUUCAAGAAGUAUCAAGCAACUAAGCUUUGGGAUGCCCCCGAGUGACAUCCCUUCUUUCUUCUAACAACCAUCGGUAUUUUACUUGGAGAAAUAUUUUUAUUCGUCACAUAUUAUGAGUUAAGCUUGGAGCAUCUUGUAUGAUAUGGGUCUUUGCUUGUUUUCUUUGUGUUUUAAGUCAUCUAUUCUUGCUGGACACACCUAGUUGAGGGAGCCCAAAUUAUGCUAUGACUAGUUAGAAUUGCUCUCUAUACUUCACUUAAAUCUUUAUGAGCUAUGGAAUUCUUCUAGUGCUUCACUUAUAUCUUUUUUAGCACGGUAUGCUUUACUACUUUUGAAGAAAUGCUCUCAUGCUUCACUUAGAUUUAUUCGAUAGUUAGUACAUUUUUUAAGAAAUUCUCUUGCUUCAUUUAAAU